AGAGUCAUAAAAUCAGCUGUUGUUCUUCCCCAUGGACCAGCACAGAGGUCUCUCCUGCUUUGAGGAAUGUGGUCGGCAGCACACUGAGGAGGUAUAUGGAUUAGGUACCAUCUCUGAUGGAAUUUCUAAAGGGGCACUGGAAUCAGAAAACCCCAGUCUUUCAAAGAACUGAUCCUUAACCUUCUCAGCAUCUCUGCAACUUAGCUAUGCCUAUGACCUGUUGGGUGGCCUUAAGCAAACCACAAACCCUCUAAGCCUCAGAGUUCUCAGCUGUAAACUGGGAAUUACCCCUACCCCUCAGGACUGUUAUGACAACUUGAGAUAAUGUAUCAAAGUGCACAGCGUGGUGCUGGCACACAGAGGCACUUGAACCUGGUAGCCUACCUAGGACCUGUGUCUGCCCUGAAUAGUCUGAGGUAUGAGGAAGCUAGAUUGUGAAGUUUACACUUAGCCUGUGUCUAAACAUUUGCCUGGAAAUUUGCAGCCAUGCUGAACACAUGCAUCCCUCCUGCAGCCUACAGCAGACAUAUGAUAGAAAGGAGACGGUCGUCAGGGUGCUGGGCUCAGUGGGAAGUCAAAGAUGCUGUAGUGUGAAAUGCACUUACAUGGGCUGACCUUUGUAAAGGCACCACUCACAUGCUCCUGAGAUUCCCAUAUAGCCUAACAGCAUGUUAGAACGGUCACAACCCAAAGACUCCAUGUCUGAUCAUUUCUGAUGCUUGG
rnacentral:lncRNA from 10 species